rnacentral:rRNA from 1 species
CCUACGGGAGGCAGCAGUGGGGAAUAUUGCACAAUGGGGGCGACCCUGAUGCAGCGACGCCGCGUGAGUGAAGAAGGAUUUCGGUAUGUAAAGCUCUAUCUGCAGGGAAGAAAAUGACGGUACCUGAGUAUGAAGCCACGGCUAACUACGUGCCAGCAGCCGCGGUAAUACGUAGGGGGCAAGCGUUAUCCGGAUUUACUGGGUGUAAAGGGAGCGUAGACGGGAUCACAAGUCAGUAGUGAAAUUCCGCGGCUCAACCCUAGAACUGCAUUGGAAACUGUGAAUCUUGAGUGCAGGAGAGGUAAGUGGAAUUCGUGGUGUAGCGGUGAAAUGCGUAGAUAUUAGGAAGAACACCAGUGGCGAAGGCGGCUUACUGGACUGUAACUGACGUUGAGGCUCGAAAGCGUGGGUAGCAAACAGGAUUAGAUACCCGGGUAGUC